UUGGACUCCAACAAGACCAAGACCACAAAUUCUCCAGUCUGAGUUCAAGUCCAUGUAUUCAUGGUCCAUGCAUGGUCCAACAAGACCAAGACCUUUGACAUGGAUUCAAGGGCCAAGACCAUAUUUUGGUCUUAGACUCUGGAGCAUAUUGACUUGUCUUGACUUGGACUCGACAGUCUUCUGGUCUUGCUUGCAGUUUUAGAGAAUUCAGAGUGUGCAAACUACAUCUAUUCAAAUUCAACUAAUUGGAGGGUUGUCAGAAAGGCGCAUUAACUGGUCUGAACCCUAAGCCCUGCAUAUUUAGGCUGGUUUUGGGGUCACCUGUUUUUUAUCAGAUGUGUUUAAUGCGAGUGUUAAAAUAACAUUCAUUCUUGUGUUUAGUUAAACAGCAUGCCAAAGUCAACCAACUAGUCAGUUGUUGGAUGACUAGUUGACCAUCAUGACUUAUCCCUACAGAGAAUUGAUUCAUUCUGUAUGGUACAAUGAGAGGUUGGACGACAAAUCUGGCAGACGGCGGCCCACAUUGGAGACUGGCUGGUGUUGGAAUGGAGACGCUAUCCAUGUAUUCUGCGCGCUUCACUUCCGUGCUUUGAUAAGCCAGGAUGUGGCAGUCAGGUCGCAGAGUUCCUCUCGAGCGGGGAAUAUCCCACAAUCCAGUAUGGCUAGUGGGACCCAAGAGCUGCUGGGAAUUGGAAGCCUCGUCAGACCAAACAGGAUACCACUCCAAAUACAGCCCAUCAAAGGUGGGAACUGGGUGUAAAUCAUCACGGAAUAGGAAAACAAAAAGAAACUUCCUGUAUGAGCUCCCAGUGCACUGGGUUUUCAGGCUGCCCCGGCCAUUCCAGAUUCUGGGACCAUAACUCAAGCCAUCUCUCACUGGCCAGUCGCUCGCUAUUCGGAAAGUCUAAAUAAAAUCCCCAUUCACCGGUUAUUUAGAGCACAGCUUGACCUUAUGGAUGAUGUGAUUGUUUGAUGGUUCUUAAGGGCUGAGAAUAGUGUUGUUAUCUGAAGUGUUCUAUCUGAUGUUUGGAAAAUGGAGCCUGUUAUUCAACAUGUUUAAAUGCUGAAGGAGGGGUAACGGUGGAGAUUUAUAGCCUAACAGCAUCAGAGCAGGAGCAGCGGGGGGAGCUCCAGCUUAGCUGGGCAUUGUUGAGCCCCUUCCUUUUAUCCUGCUGCAGUUUUAAUACUGUGCAAAUCCCCAUGCGCUCUAUUGACUCAGAACUCCACUAUAUGGAAGAAAUUCACAGUGUAUCCAAUCACCUCGAUGAAUCAGCAUGAGAGGCCGAGUGAAAGUUCUCAGUUUACUGUUUAGCCACAGUUUUUAAUCCUUACUUUAAAAUUGAGAUAAGCAAAAAUUGAGGGUACGAUGAGACACUAACCAUAAGUAACUUGCAAGGAAAUGGGCCAGUUAUGUAGGGUUUAAAAGCAGAAAUCGGACACUUAUAUUUUUAUAAAAGCAUUUAAAUACUUUUUUUUUCUGUUGAAGCUUUUGUAUAAUUUGAUAUGUAAAGCUGUUAAAAUCAUUUUUAUAGUCGUUUUAAGUUUUGCGUUGCAAAGAAGUUGAAUAUAUACUAUGUUGAAAAUGUUGUGGUCUGUAAGGGUAUAUUUUGGUUUUAGGAGUCCCCAACAGCAGGUUGACAUGCAUGGAAGGUCAAAAAACACUUUCAUUGUCUUAUAAUAUGCAUUUAUUUUUACCUUAUUUGCUCAACAACUCCCAAACCAUUAGCUCAACGAUUCAUUUUUCCAAACCCUUCCUUUGCGUGAUGCUAAUCUGUGGUGAUUGGUCCGAUGACCCAGUCUGUGAUUGGUCUACUGCAUGCAGCGCAUGUUGGAAACGGAAUGCCCAUCACCAUUACUGGAUUAUGGCUUAUGGCUUAUCAGGUGUUGAUAAUUUUAUACACUGUAUGAACAUACAACAUGGCUUCUUUACCUUAUCAAUUCGAGCCCAAGUCUGACGAGGAAGCAUCCAGAGUUGCUGAUGAACCAGAAAGUCAAACGCAAACACGACUGGAGCGACUGUCUCAAUGGAAGGAGUGGAUGAAGAAUGUUUUACACUACGGGAUGACACCAGCAUUGCUGUACUAAUUCCAAGAACUUUCAACGGGGAGACAAUGGAACAGAAGGCCUUACUACAAGCAGUGGAUCUGUGUUGCAAACUUUUCUAUGUGUAUGACAUCAACUACCCAAAGCCUUUUGCUCCCAUUUGGGAGAUUUUGCAGCACAAUCUUUAAUAUUCCAAGAUUUCCUUCAACACACUGCCUCCUCCUUAAAAAAUUUUUAUUUGGUGAUCAGUAAAACCUUUUUAUUUUACUGAUCAUCAGUCGGUCCAGCAGCCAGCAGAUUUGUUUUUAUUAUUAUUAUUAUUAUUAUUAUUAUUAAUAUUAUUACAUUUUUUUUCAACUACUUACAUACAUUGUCAAAACGUUGCCUAUUUAUUUUUCAAAGCUUUACACACAAAUCCAAGAAUUGCAAAUGCCUCACAUCGCUUGCAAAAUGAAGCACUGCAUUCAAAAUAUCACAAACACAUCUCAAAAGCAAACACCUUUGCCAUAAUAUUAAUUCCUGUUCAAUUGUUGUGUGUUACAUAGAGAAUUGUGUGUUGUGUUUUGCAAAAAGUGUUUUAUGAAAUUGAAAACUGAGUCAAAGGCUGAGAAUUAGUGUAUGGUUUUGCAGAUUUGGUGUGUGCUUCUGCUGUUUGAGUGUCAGCUUUCAGAAAUUGUGUGACAAGGAAAGAUUUUGUUUAUGCAGUUGAACAUUUUUAUUUGUUGUUUAUGCAGGUUAUUUUUUUAUUGAUGUCUUUGUAUGUUAUGUUUGUUUUAUUUGUGUACUGUAUUUGCACAUUUGUGUAUGUUUUGAUAUGAAUGAAUAUGAGCUAUAUAUAUAUAUAUAUAUAUAUAUAUAUAAUAUAUAUUUGUCUGAA